AAAUAAGAAUGCUUUGAGAUCGUUGAAUGGUAGACAUUAUAGAAGUAGAAAGCAUUGACUAUUAUUUGUUGUAUUAUUAUUAUUAUUAUUAUUUAAUGUAACAUAUGGAUGCAAAAUUCUGGCUUGUUUGACCAGGAAGACAGCCCUAUAUGUUUAAAAUUAAAUUAGCAUAGAAAAAAACUAAGCAAACAGACUAUCUCAAAUAGGAAAUGAAAUAAACAGUAUGGAGCUCUUUAAAUAUAUAACAAGUAAUCAGCGAAAGGGCUGUGAACGGAACCUGAGUGGGAAGCUUGUGACCAGCAAGGCUGAUACUGCUGGAAGCCUCAAUGAAAGUUAAAAGGCUCCAUGACUAGGCCAGACUAUACAGGCAAUUAGAAGUGCUGAAUGUUGCCAAGGCAUCAGGCCAACAAGAAUUACAACUCAACAAACUGAAUGAAGGAGAGUGGGGGGAGGGGGAAAAAAAAAAAAAAAGAAAAAAAAAGAAAAAAAGAAAAAAAAGGCUUUAAUUAAAUAUUUGAGAUCUCACAAGGGAUGGGGAAAGUGCCAGGUAACUGGAAGAUGGUUAACUAAACAGAGGGAGUCUGUUCGCUCAUUAAUGCGUGGGGGAAUUUACAAGUGUAACUUCUACUACCAUUAAUUGGAGCUACAGUAAAAGAGUGAUGCCAGUGUAUACUGGUGGGCAAAGGUUCUUGUUACCUAGACUGGUCUUCCCUGGUAAGGCUUCACUGAAGAGUUAUGGGGUAAUUUUUGGAUCUGAAUGAAAAAGGUCACCAAGAUGGAACUUCUUGAAAUACAAGCCUGCACUACUUUAAAUGCAGGAUGAUCCCAAAAUAAAGCAAUAUUUUCAUAAGAACUUUUCUUAGCAGCACUUUUUCAGAAUUGUGCAGAUUUACUUCUCUUUGCCCUGCACCUCAGAAAUCCCAAAAUAACCCUGUGGGACACGCAUCAGAUUCAAAGUGGAUAAAGAAACUUCAUUUCUGCAGUACCUUGUCAGAAGGGUCACCAGUUGGGAUGAUUUGAUUGUGCCUGUGCUGAAAUGAGACAGGGAAAUGAAGCCAGCAGGUCACUCACCCUCAAAGAAACAGUAGGAAAGAGGAGAACAGAAGUACUUGUGAAAGGACCUAACGUUGGCAAGGGUAGGGAGAGAACUGCAAGUGUACUAUGUCACUGGACCCAAUUAGAAACUCUAUAGAUGUAAUUACUUCAGAUAAGCAUAUAUAUAUUUUUAUGCAGCUCCAAAUUCCAUGGUUUUCACAACAUCAAUCACAUAUCAAAUUUUAAACGCCUGCUAGUUAUAAUACACAAUUUUGCUAUUCAUUGUUCCUCCAAAUCCAAAGUUUCCUUCAAAACAAAAUUUUAGGCUUCAUUGUUCUAUAGCACUGCAAUGAAGCCAGAAAUUAUUUAUUGACUAAAAAGAGAAUUGGGGGGGUUUCAGCUGCAAUCAGAGGAAUUUUGGAAUGUGUAAAAAAUUGUUUCUUUUUAGAGCCCAUAAACACAAACCAGAAAUAAUAGCUUUAGUAACACUUUCAGGUACAUAAAAUGGAGAAAUAAGGGCCAAGAAGCUUAUGUCAGGGUCCCAUGUUGGUUAUCUUAUCAGUCUUUCUAACUGAAAAGGAGAAACCAUUGGAGUUU
ensembl:lncRNA